rnacentral:lncRNA from 1 species
UUCAUAUUUUUUGUAGAGAUGGGAUUCAACAUGUUUCCCAGGCAAUCUGAAAGCAAAUCCUGUUUAGAUGCAGGCGAAGGUUCCUGGUGACCCAGGCUCUCACCUUACCGUCCCUUACCGUCCUCCUGAGGGUGUCCUGGAGCUUCAGUGCUGUGUGUUCUUGGCCUCCACGCUGGGGGUGCCACCAACUCCCACUGUCCAGGGCUUCCAGUGGACUCUCCGAGGUACUGAUGUAGAAACUUCCCCAUUCGGUGCACCAAGAGCAACCUCACACGGUGUGGGCCGAAUGAAGAGCUGCCAGAUCCCACAGAAAUGUGAUUGAUAACAGUAAAGCCACACUCCUCAAGUGCCUGAAAUACCCCUCAUUGUCUUCUUCAGGUGGCAAGGGCUCUGGAACAGCCACAUAAAGGCUGAUGACUUCAGGGACAUGAGCAUGGGAUACCUGUCAUCACCACCACCAUAAAGUUGGGAUUCAGGAAGGAGGUUAAUCAUAUAAAGAAUCCUGUGACCAGUAUGAGCUUCUCUCAGGCCACACAGGGCACUCAAGUGAACAGGGCAUGGGGGCCCUGGGGUCAUGGUAAGAAAGUGUCUCAUUGGUAAAACCUUUUCCUCUGGGGAGGUAAAUAAAUGAUUUGUUUCUUCU